rnacentral:rRNA from 1 species
UAGAAUACUCAAGCUAUGCAUCCAACGCGUUGGGAGCUCUCCCAUAUGGUCGACCUGCAGGCGGCCGCACUAGUGAUUACGGUUACCUUGUUACGACUUCACCCCAAUCAUCUGUCCCACCUUAGGCGGCUGGCUCCAUAAAGGUUACCUCACCGACUUCGGGUGUUACAAACUCUCGUGGUGUGACGGGCGGUGUGUACAAGACCCGGGAACGUAUUCACCGCGCCGUGGCUGAUGCGCGAUUACUAGCGAAUCCAGCUUCACGGAGUCGAGUUGCAGACUCCGAUCCGAACUGAGAGUGGUUUUGGAGAUUAGCAUCAUGUCGCCAUGUAGCUGCCCUUUGUACCACCCAUUGUAACACGUGUGUCGCCCCGGACGUAAGGGCCGUGCUGAUUUGACGUCAUCCCCACCUUCCUCGCAUCUUACGAUGGCAGUCUCAUUAGAGUCCCCAGCUUGACCUGAUGGUAACUAAUGAUGAGGGUUGCGCUCGUUAUGGCACUUAAGCCGACACCUCACGGCACGAGCUGACGACAACCAUGCAGCACCUACACAUCUGCCCCGAAGGGAGAGAGCGUCUCUGCUCCUGUCAGAUGCAUUUCAAGCCCGGGUAAGGUUCCUCGCGUAUCAUCGAAUUAAACCACAUGUUCCUCCGCUUGUGCGGGCCCCCGUCAAUUCCUUUGAGUUUCAUUCUUGCGAACGUACUCCCCAGGUGGAUUACUUAACGCUUUCGCUCAGCCGCUUACUGUAUAUCGCAAACAGCUAGUAAUCAUCGUUUACUGCGUGGACUACCAGGGUAUCUAAUCCUGUUUGAUCCCCACGCCUUCGUGCAUGAGCGUCAGUUAUGGCUUAGUAAGCUGCCUUCGCAAUCGGAGUUCCUCGUGAUAUCUAUGCAUUUCACCGCUACACCACAAAUUCCGCCUACUUCAUCCACACUCAAGAAAACCAGUUUCGAAGGCACUUUUACAGUUGAGCUGCAAAAUUU